GUGGGUGUAGCUCAGUGGUAGAGCACCUGCUUAGCACGCACGAGGUCCUGGGUUCAAUCCCCAGUACCUCCA
rnacentral:tRNA from 1 species